GGAGUACACAAGAGGGUAGCAGCCAAUUAUGGAGGUGUUAUUAAAAUGUAAAAACGGUUUCGGAAAUGUCAUUAGUGCAAACACAGAAUGUUUAUGAAUGCGCGAGCACUGAUGUAGUUAAGGUCACAGAAACAGUUUGCUACAGUAACGCAUACGCGCAAUUUAUUCACCCGCGUCUGACUGACAGGUCAACACAGCGUCCAGACGAGCUUCUCAUUUAGACGAGCUCGUUUGGACCCCUCCAUCACGCUGCUGUCCUUGUCUGUGCACACACACACACACACACACACACACACACACACACACACACACACACACACACAGGCAGAGGAAUCGAUUCACUGGCGACUAAGUGGAGACGACCCUUCCGGCUAAUUAUCGCUGGACCGUUUUGCGCUGACCUCAUCACACACUCAGCGACUGAAACCAAACUUAGCGGCAGAAGAAUUCUGAUUAACUGCUUCUUCUUGUCAGGCCAAAAGUGGAGGAAGUGCCUCAUGCACCCCGAGUAGCUGCAACAGACAUAUUUACACGCUGUCAGUGGUUCAACCACAGGCUGCUCCAGCAGGGUUGUCCACAGAACAGCUGGGACAAGCCUCCUUCCCUGUUCCUGAGGUACAGACCACCCCCCCCCCCCCAAAAGCAUGCCAAAAUCGCUGCUCAUCCAAAGUCAUUUGCAGCAAAGUCCAUUAUCAUCAUCACUUGUGGUGAUGAAUUCCCUCUGAUGGUGGCAGGCCCGCAGCAGCCUCCGCUCAUAAUGACAUUCUGCUCUUGUUGGCAGUCACUCCCCGUCAGAUGGCUCAGUCCCAACAGCGGGCGCAUCAGACAGAGCGCGCACGCACGUCACCGGGCCGAGCCUUGGCGCCACAGGACGGCAGGAUGCUUGAAGAGCAGAGCCCAGCCCCAGGAAGGACCAAGUGUUACCGGAGAACUUCCUCUGCUGCACAGGAAGUGAUGUCAUAUCCACCACGCAACGACUUCCUAAAGGGAACAUUUCCCACCGACCUGCGCGCCUCCUUCAGUGUGAAAUAAGGUGAUAAAUGAAGCAACUGAGCGAGCGUCGAAGCUGCUGAAGGUGACUCUCGGCCUCAGCUCGUCGGGGGACUCAGGAAACAAGAGGCCUGGCGAGCGGCGCGCCGGGCGGCUGACAAGCGGUGAUGGUGACCAGGUGGGAGAUGUUAUCCUAACAGUCUGGAACUCCUGUGAAUUAUUUGCUGAUAGAUAUAAACAGCUGUUAUUCUUGGUAAUGGAAAGCAAUUAGAAACAUCUGCAUACUUGGCUGUGAGCGAUGCCGUCCGCGGCCCCCAGGUGCCGCCGGGGAAAUAAUUACAUCAUCAGGACAGGGGCCGGGGCUGAAGGACUGCUAGUGAUCUGUGAAGAGCGAGGAGGAGAGCCGAGAGAGCAUGUGCACACACCUGCACACACAGCAGAUACAUAAACGUGACCCGAUCGAUCCGGUUUAAUAAAGGGGAGCGGUUUCCCUCCCUCAUCGCCAUGGCGAGAGCAUGUUGAGACCACAAGUGAAAGUGAAAACAAAUCCCUCGCUGAGAAACUGGAGCAACAUUUCUCAACGUCGGCGUUUCCUGCUGUAAAGUCACACGCGUGGUGUUUCGGCGACAUUCGGCCCGACCCAAAACGGUCCCUUUGUGCGAGGAGCGGUUCCGUUCUCUCUCACCAAAUGUCUGAAAGCCAAGCGUCUUGCAGAAAAAAGUACGAGCAGAAACAGAGAAACACAAACACCCACAGAUGAAGACAGCGGACAUUUGUUACAG
rnacentral:lncRNA from 1 species